rnacentral:lncRNA from 1 species
GAGAGUUAGAAAACAUAACCGCAUAUCAUACGAGUAUAAGAAAGGUCUUACACUUUCAAACUACAUCAUACAUAUUCUAACUCACGUCAAAACAUCGCACCAAACAGUUACCAAUUAAUAAAGUUUAGCACAGUUUAACCAGAUAAUGUCACAUACCAUUUAUCAAAUAUAUGCGCAUUUACCCUAAUGUAUCUAAUGCCAAUCAUUCUAUGUCAUGCCAUCCCUAGACACGACUAAUGCAUGUGGUACCAAUUGCCUUUUACCCCUCAUGGAUAAGUUAAACAGUUUUACAUCUUGCCAGAUUGUUCGGAACUUACCAAACCUUCAUAUCCCUCAUGGAUAAGUUAAACAGUUUUAUAUCCUGCUGGAUAGCAGCUCUAGAUCUUAUGGAUUCAUCUAAUCCG